AUCAUGGCUCAGGAUGAACGCUAGCUACAGGCUUAACACAUGCAAGUCGAGGGGCAGCAUUUUUAUAGCAAUAUAAAAGAUGGCGACCGGCGCACGGGUGAGUAACACGUAUCCAACCUGCCGAUAACUCGGGGAUAACCCUUCGAAAGAAGGCCUAAUACCCGAUGGCAUAUCCCUUCCGCCUGGUUGGGAUAUUAAAGAACUUCGGUUAUCGAUGGGGAUGCGUUCCAUUAGAUAGUAGGCGGGGUAACGG
rnacentral:rRNA from 1 species